UGUUUUUUCUUGGCAGCAUUUUAAGAAAUGUCCAAUUGUGCUUCAUCAGCUUGCAACUGCAGCAGAAGGAGUUCGGACACAGUGUGAGAGGAUGCUGCCAAAGACCAAAAACAGUCAGCAACAAAAAGCCCAGACUGAUGACACCAGUGAUCUGGACACCAAUUUGUGGUCCCUGAUGAUGCUGUGAAAGUGCUGCACUCAAUAUGCCAGCAAAUUUGGAAAACUCAGCAGUGGCCACAUGACCAGAAAAGGUCAGUUUUCAUUCGAAUCCCAAAGAAAGGCAAUGCCAAAGAAUGCUCAAACUACCUCAAAGUUACACUCAUCUCACAUGCUAGUAAAGUAAUACUCCAAAUUCUCCAAGCCAUGCUUCAGCAAUACGUGAACUGUGAACUUCUAGACGUUCAUGCUUGUUUUAGAAAAGGCAGAGGAACCAGAG
rnacentral:lncRNA from 1 species